rnacentral:rRNA from 1 species
UAGGGAAUCUUCCACAAUGGACGAAAGUCUGAUGGAGCAACGCCGCGUGAGUGAUGAAGGGUUUCGGCUCGUAAAACUCUGUUGUUGGAGAAGAACAGGUGCCAGAGUAACUGUUGACAUCUUGACGGUAUCCAACCAGAAAGCCACGGCUAACUACGUGCCAGCAGCCGCGGUAAUACGUAGGUGGCAAGCGUUGUCCGGAUUUAUUGGGCGUAAAGCGAGCGCAGGCGGUUUCUUAGGUCUGAUGUGAAAGCCUUCGGCUUAACCGGAGAAGUGCAUCGGAAACCAGGAGACUUGAGUGCAGAAGAGGACAGUGGAACUCCAUGUGUAGCGGUGAAAUGCGUAGAUAUAUGGAAGAACACCAGUGGCGAAGGCGGCUGUCUGGUCUGUAACUGACGCUGAGGCUCGAAAGCAUGGGUAGCGAACAGGAUUAGAUACCCUGGUAGUCCAUGCCGUAAACGAUGAGUGCUAAGUGUUGGAG